CCCGCUGAACUUAAGCAUAUCAAUAAGCGGAGGAAAAGAAACCAACAGGGAUUGCCCUAGUAACGGCGAGUGAAGCGGCAACAGCUCAAAUUUGAAAUCUGGCCCUAGGCCCGAAUUGUAAUUUGUAGAGGAUGCUUCUGGUGACGUGCCUUCUGAGUUCCCUGGAACGGGACGCCAGAGAGGGUGAGAGCCCCGUAUAGUCGGCCACUGAACCUCUGUGAAGCCCCUUCGACGAGUCGAGUAGUUUGGGAAUGCUGCUCAAAAUGGGAGGUAAACUUCUUCUAAAGCUAAAUACCGGCCAGAGACCGAUAGCGCACAAGUAGAGUGAUCGAAAGAUGAAAAGCACUUUGAAAAGAGGGUUAAAAAGUACGUGAAACAAUUGAAAAGGAAGCACUUGUGACCAGACUUGUGCCGCGCGAAUCAUCCAGCGUUCUCGCUGGUGCACUUUGCGCGGUUCAGGCCAGCAUCGGUUUUCCUAGGGGGACAUAAGCUCUGGGAACGUGGCUCCUCCAGGAGUGUUAUAGCCCUCUGCACAAUACCCUCGGGGGGACCGAGGUUCGCGCUCUGCAUGGAUGCUGGCGUAAUGGUCAUCAGUGGCCCGUCAUGCAGCAGGG
rnacentral:rRNA from 1 species